rnacentral:rRNA from 1 species
GAUGAACGCUGGCGGCGUGCCUAAUACAUGCAAGUCGAGCGAACGGACGAGAAGCUUGCUUUUCUGAUGUUAGCGGCGGACGGGUGAGUAACACGUGGAUAACCUACCUAUAAGACUGGGAUAACUUCGGGAAACCGGAGCUAAUACCGGAUAAUAUUUUGAACCGCAUGGUUCAAAAGUGAAAGACGGUCUUGCUGUCACUUAUAGAUGGAUCCGCGCUGCAUUAGCUAGUUGGUAAGGUAACGGCUUACCAAGGCAACGAUGCAUAGCCGACCUGAGAGGGUAAUCGGCCACACUGGAACUGAGACACGGUCCAGACUCCUACGGGGGGCAGCUAAAGGGAAUCUUCCGAAAUGGGCAAAAUCCUGACGGAGCAACGCCGCGUGAUUGAUGAAGGUCUUCGGAUCGUAAAACUCUGUUAUUAGGGUAGAACAUAUGUGUAAGUAACUGUACACAUCUUGACGGUACCUAAUCAGAAAGCCACGGCUAACUACGUG